UACAGAGGUCUCGAGCGUUAGGCGGAAUCACUGGGCUUAAAGCGUGUGUAGGCGGAUCGUUAAGUGCCUUGUGAAAUCCCACGGCUUAACCGUGGAACUGCUUGGCAUACUGGCGGUCUUGAGCAACCUAGGGGCGAGCGGAACAAAUGGUGGAGCGGUGAAAUGCGUAGAUAUCAUUUGGAACGCCAAUGGUGAAAACAGCUCGCUGGGGGGUUUUGCUGACGCUGAGACACGAAAGCCAGGGGAGCGAACGGG
rnacentral:rRNA from 1 species